CCUACGGGUGGCAGCAGUGAGGAAUAUUGGGCAAUGGACGGAAGUCUGAACCAGCCAUGCCGCGUGCAGGAAGACGGCUCUCUGAGUUUUAAACUGCUUUUGUACAGGGGUACACCUGAAUACGUGUAUUCCGCUGAAAUUACUGUACGAAUAAGGAUCGGCUAACUCCGUGCCAGCAGCCGCGGUAAUACGGAGGAUCCAAGCGUUAUCCGGAUUUAUUGGGGUUAAAGGGUGCGUAGGCGGCUUGAGAAGUUAGAGGUGAAAUGUCCGAGCUUAACUCGGGAACUGCCUCUAAUACUGUUGAUCUAGAGAGUAGAAGCGGUAGGCGGAAUGUAUGGUGUAGCGGUGAAAUGCGUAGAGAUC
rnacentral:rRNA from 1 species